UACGAAGGGGGCUAGCGUUGUUCGGAAUUACUGGGCGUAAAGCGCACGUAGGCGGAAUGUUAAGUCAGGGGUGAAAUCCCGGGGCUCAACCCCGGAACUGCCUUUGAUACUGGCAUUCUCGAGUCCGGAAGAGGUGAGUGGAAUUCCGAGUGUAGAGGUGAAAUUCGUAGAUAUUCGGAGGAACACCAGUGGCGAAGGCGGCUCACUGGUCCGGUACUGACGCUGAGGCGCGAAAGCCAGGGGAGCAAACGGG
rnacentral:rRNA from 1 species